UGCCAACAGGAAGCGGAAGUGAAGAAUGCAAGUGUCCGUAUCCCGGCUGCCACUUAGCAACGCGAAGAGGUCAGGUGACAGAACCAGCUGACUCCUGUAGAGGAGGACCCUGUGGCUGGGGCGAUUGCAGCCACGAUUACCCGGCCCAGACCCCUGCCGAACUAUCAUCGUCAGAAUGUCGGGCAAAGACCGUAUUGAAAUCUUUCCCUCGCGCAUGGCACAAACCAUCAUGAAGGCUCGGUUAAAAGGAGCACAGACAGGUCGAAACCUCCUGAAGAAAAAAUCUGAUGCCUUAACUCUUCGAUUUCGACAGAUCCUAAAGAAGAUAAUAGAGACGAAGAUGUUGAUGGGUGAAGUGAUGAGAGAAGCCGCCUUCUCACUCGCUGAGGCCAAGUUCACGGCAGGGGACUUCAGCACCACAGUUAUUCAAAAUGUAAAUAAAGCCCAAGUGAAGAUUCGAGCUAAGAAAGAUAAUGUAGCAGGUGUUACCUUGCCAGUGUUUGAACAUUACCAUGAAGGAACUGACAGUUAUGAACUGACUGGUUUAGCCAGAGGUGGGGAACAGUUGGCUAAAUUAAAGAGGAAUUAUGCCAAAGCAGUGGAAUUACUGGUGGAACUAGCUUCGCUUCAGACUUCCUUUGUUACGCUGGAUGAAGCUAUUAAGAUAACCAACAGGCGUGUAAAUGCCAUUGAACAUGUCAUCAUCCCCCGGAUCGAACGCACCCUUGCUUACAUCAUCACAGAGCUGGAUGAGCGAGAGCGAGAAGAGUUCUAUAGGUUAAAGAAAAUACAAGAGAAGAAAAAGAUUCUCAAGGAAAAAUCCGAGAAGGACUUGGAGCAGCGGAGGGCAGCUGGAGAGGUGAUGGAGCCUGCGAACCUUCUGGCUGAAGAGAAGGAUGAGGAUCUUCUGUUUGAAUAGUCUCCUGCUCUGGCUCUUUCAUAAGCCCUAACGUGGCACCAUUUUAAUUCACCGUGUGUAGGUUUGAUUUAAAACUUUGGGUAAAGGUAAGAUACAAGGCCUGUCCUGGAGGAGCUGAGUUUUAGGAAAUGCUGUUACAGUGAAUCUGAGCUUUUAUUCUGUAAGUAACUUUGGUAGUGAUGGGAAAACUAGUGAGUUCCUGAGUCUUGAAAAUAGGUAACAUUGACCUGCUUACAUUUAAUCCUCCCACCCCCGGAGUAAGGUGUAAAUCCUGUCCUCUCCAUUUUGCAGACGAAGAAACUGAAGCUUUGUCAGGGCAAAUAGGGCUGGAAUGUAGGCAUUUGUGCAUAAGCAGUACAUACUGCCUCUUGGAGGGUGCUUACAGAGAGCCAGAUUACUUAGGUUUUCAUUUAGGUAAAAUUUAAGUGUUCAUCUUAAAGUGCUGAUAGAGAAGAAUCUAGAUUUUUCCUGUGGCUUUUUAAAGCUCUAUUUUUUAUUGGCCUUGGCCAGACAUCCUACACAACUUCAGAUGAUCUUAUAGUUUUAGCAUAUUGAUGAACUAGAAAUUAAAAUAGUGAACAGUUUGUGGGGUGAUGUGAUCAAGAAUAGAAAGCCAGCUGGGUAGCAGGUACGUAUAUAUGUGACACUUUUUUGGGUAUGAUUUGCUUCCCUUGGGAGAUCCAGAGUGGCAGAGUAGAAAAGGGGAGAAAUGAGUGUUGUCUGUUUGAGGCUAGGGUGGGAAUUAACCAUAUCCUCCAAUCCUUGGCUGCACAGAAGUGAAAUUUGCCUAAGUAUUUUAUAACUUUUUCCCUAGAAGAUGUUGAAUUCAGUGUUAGGCUAUCUUUAAUUUUUUAAAACCAGGAGAUAGAACCUACAUAUGUGUCAAUAGGGGGUUCUCCCUAUUAAGUGAAAAGGUAUUUUACGUUUCACCCACAGAGUACAAUGAACUUAUUUCUGGCAAAAACGUGAAGACAGGGUGGUUAGGUGAGUUGAAGCCUUGGACAGCCGAGGACAUAAACACAACUUACUCUGGUUUUAUUUGAAAUAUAAUUUUACUUUUUGUUUUUACAAUACAGUGUGCAGUAUGACAACUCAAAAUAAGAGUGCAGAUACAAGGUCAUUUGAGAAGACCAAAGGGAGAAGACAAAUAGAACAUAAAUUUCAAUGAGAAAAAAAGAGAGAAGAGAAAAAUCAAGAGCACUUAACUCUGGCUCCCCACAUAUGUGGAGUAUCUGCAGAGAAAAGUGGGAAUCCCAAAGAAUAUGAGAAAUUUUUUUGGGGGGGUAGAAAGCACGGAGGUCACAUAACCUCCAAUGGAAAUAACACAGACCCAUGUUAAUGAAGAAGGUUAAGGAAUGCCAAAGGUAACCAUACAUUUGGGGUAGCAAUAGAGAAUGUGUGGAGAACAACAAGGGAAGGCCCCUCUUUUGGAAAGCAGCCACAGUCCAGCCAGAAGCAACAACAGCAAUUUUGGGGAAAGUGACACGGCCCAAAGAAUAAUCAAUUUGAAAGCUCAAGCUGAUGCAGCUCUUAAGCACCUGUAACACAUUAGGUCAUGACUCUUUCAUGUUUACUUUCAGUGGAACAGUACAACACUAAUAAUAACUUUACCUUUGGAUUCUUGCCCUCCUUGGCCAAUAAUGCACGAAGUCUCUCUUGUGAAGGGGGUGCAAUGAAGAUAAUAUAUGGUUUCAAGUCUGAAUUCCGGAGAGUCUUCAAUGACUAUUAAAAAAAGAUAUUUUGGAUCUUUAUAAUAAUUUUAAUCACUUAAUUGCUUCCCAGUAAUAUACUGUCAUUAAAAAAUGCCUAUGAAAGUUUCCAAACAUCUUUGUAACAAUUUACAAUAUUUUAAGAUUCUACUAUUCACUGUAAGAAUAUAUUAUGUACUUAUGUCACACACACACACACACACACAAUUAGCUUGCCCUGUUUACGUAAUGAAAUAAAAGUAAAUGACACUGAA